AUUGAACGCUGGCGGCAGGCCUAACACAUGCAAGUCGAGCGGAUGAAGGGAGCUUGCUCCUGGAUUCAGCGGCGGACGGGUGAGUAAUGCCUAGGAAUCUGCCUGGUAGUGGGGGAUAACGUCCGGAAACGGGCGCUAAUACCGCAUACGUCCUGAGGUAGAAAGUGGGGGAUCUUCGGACCUCACGCUAUCAGAUGAGCCUAGGUCGGAUUAGCUAGUUGGUGGGGUAAAGUCCUACCAAGGCGACGAUCCGUAACUGGUCUGAGAGGAUGAUCAGUCACACUGGAACUGAGACACGGUCCAGACUCCUACGGGAGGCAGCAGUGGGGAAUAUUGGACAAUGGGCGAAAGCCUGAUCCAGCCAUGCCGCGUGUGUGAAGAAGGUCUUCGGAUUGUAAAGCACUUUAAGUUGGGAGGAAGGGCAGUAAGUUAAUACCUUGCUGUUUUGACGUUACCAACAGAAUAAGCACCGGCUAACUUCGUG
rnacentral:rRNA from 1 species